UUGCAGCUAAUUAAGCUGACCGGGUGGGUCUCUUUCCCCAUGGGGGCCCAGUGUGCCAUGGCAGCAAACAGCAGCGUCCUUGGUAGUGUAUGCACCCUGUGGCCUAUAUGGGCUGCCCUCGGGGGCCUUGGAGACAAUU